AGGAGAUGAGACCCCACAAGUGACGUCGGGAGGGGAGGGGAGCUUGGCCUCUGAGGUGGAAGUUGCUAGAGGGUUGGCACAGGAGUGACACAAUGUGACUUACAUAUUAAUAGGGCUCUUGCUGAGGGAUUAACUUCCCCUGUAGUGUCAGGGGACCCCUUUGGCAGCCCUAUGGACCAUUUUUCAGAUAGCAUUUUUAAAUGCAAAACAUGAAGGCCACAGAAUAUAAAGCAAUCUGAUUGUAUUGAGAUGCAUUGUCAAAAUAGUAGAUCCAGUUUAUGAUUGAGCAGUGUGCAUGCUUCUUUAUUAUUUCAUUAAAUAAGACCCAGCCAUAGGUCAGUAGAGGAGUCUAGGGCUGGGUCUUGGGCCUUCAAGGGUGCCCAUUUGCCUGCCUAUUUCCUGCCUACAGCUCCAACCAGGACAGUUCCUUCCUGGGGCCAGUGGAGUGGUGGGUCAUUUGGGCCAGUAGGGUGACGCAGAGCCCUCUAAACUCUCAGGGGUGACCAGGCUGGGGUCAGUGGCUGUGUGGUGUACUCACAUCUUUGAACACCUUGAGCUCCUUACUGUGGGUCCAAAGUCACAUCACUUAUAAGUGGUGUAACUUUGAGAUUGCAGUAAUGAAUGACAGGAUAUAGAAUUAUCUUGAAACGUCUACUGCUGCAAAUUUGUGGUUACUACUAAAACUACCCUGGACCAGACCCACAUUUUUUAAAAAAAUGUUUAUUUUAUUUAUUUAUAUGUGAUGCUGAGACUCGAACCCAGUGCCUCACACAAGCUAGGCAAGCACUCUGCCACUGAGCCACAACCCCAGCCCCCAGGCCCACUUUUGUAAUGGAAGGAAUGUUCAGUUUCAGUUGGAGAUUAGUGAAAAUAAAGAUAUUUCCCCCCAUGUAAUUUCCAGGACCUCCUGAAUUCUCUCUACAGACCACUUCUCUGUAGAGAGCAAAUUCAGUGGGAUCCAAAAGUGAAGUGGGAUGUUUCUGUUCUUGUCUGCAUUUUCCCUCAAACCACUGGGAUUCCCUGCCAGCUGUUUCAGAUCCUGGAAUUCCUGGUGGAAUGGUGCCUACAAUGGUGGCUUCUCAUGUUUCAGACACCCUAGGGACCCGAGGUAACUCCAAGAGGUCUUUGUUUAUCUGGUUCCUGUGGCUAAACAUUUCAGGAGACUUGGGGUGUGGCAACUUGGCUCAGGCAGUCAAGACCCUUCUCCCAG
rnacentral:lncRNA from 1 species